UGAUUGGUGCUUGCAUCAUGAUUUACAUUUGAGUGAGUGGCGAACUGGUGAGUAACACGUGGGAAACCUGCCCAGAAGCGGGGGAUAACACCUGGAAACAGAUGCUAAUACCGCAUAACAACUUGGACCGCAUGGUCCGAGCUUGAAAGAUGGCUUCGGCUAUCACUUUUGGAUGGUCCCGCGGCGUAUUAGCUAGAUGGUGGGGUAACGGCUCACCAUGGCAAUGAUACGUAGCCGACCUGAGAGGGUAAUCGGCCACAUUGGGACUGAGACACGGCCCAAACUCCUACGGGAGGCAGCAGUAGGGAAUCUUCCACAAUGGACGAAAGUCUGAUGGAGCAACGCCGCGUGAGUGAAGAAGGGUUUCGGCUCGUAAAACUCUGUUGUUAAAGAAGAACAUAUCUGAGAGUAACUGUUCAGGUAUUGACGGUAUUUAACCAGAAAGCCACGGCUAACUACGUGCCAGCAGCCGCGGUAAUACGUAGGUGGCAAGCGUUGUCCGGAUUUAUUGGGCGUAAAGCGAGCGCAGGCGGUUUUUUAAGUCUGAUGUGAAAGCCUUCGGCUCAACCGAAGAAGUGCAUCGGAAACUGGGAAACUUGAGUGCAGAAGAGGACAGUGGAACUCCUGGUGUAGCGGUGAAAUGCGUAGAUUUAUGGAAGAACACCAGUGGCGAAGGCGGCUGUCUGGUCUGUAACUGACGCUGAGGCUCGAAAGUAUGGGUAGCAAACAGGAUUAGAUACCCUGGUAGUCCAUACCGUAAACGAUGAAUGCUA
rnacentral:rRNA from 2 species